GCUGCGCGGGCGAGAAGGCGGUGCCGGCGGGAGGUGUCUGACGCCCGGAGGAAUCUGAGCUGGGCCUCGGGAGAUGGUAGCCUGGAAGGAGGGGGCGGCCCUUAAGCCCUGCGGAUGAUUAAACGUAGCGCCCGCUCCCUUCUAAGUGCUGAGAAGGCGAGAUGAACUAUUGUGUGGGCCAGGCAUCGUCCACAUCACCUUGUACCCUCCCCCAGCCCUACAAGGACACCACCAGUGCCACCCCUGGGAUACCCCAAGACCAAGAGGGGUCUCUACAAUCAUCAUUCCCAGCACCUCCGUGCCUUUGAUGAAGAUUCUCAAAACGAUUUCCCAUCAAGGAUGUCAAUUACAACAGGGUUUCAAAGCCGCCCCUCACCUGCCAAUGAUGCUCUUGAUCUGCGAAUCCUUCUCCACCUGUUGCUGCCUUAGCCUCUUUUCGCUCUGCUCCAGUCGGGCCUGAUACUGCAUCAAGAUUUUGCUGGUCUGCUCCUCCUGGGACAGCAGCCUCCGCUCAUACUCUUCUAGCUUCCGGUUGGACAUGUGUAGUCGCUCCUUCAGUGAAUGGAUCUCCUCCUCAUACUCCUUCACCUGCCCGCCGGGCAAACGACCCCGCACUGUGAGGGGCGCCUCACCCUGACCCACCACCCCGUCUCCAUUCUUGCCUACCAAGCAGCCACUGCAUGGUAAGGGACAGAUAACCCAGGUGCCUUCUGCAGUCCUUUCCCUGCCUGCUGAUUAUACCAGACAUGGUGGCUUUUGAGAAGACCCUUCUAUGGAGCUACCUAAGGCUCCUUUAAAAUGGACCAAGAUCAUAUGCUCCCAUGCCCUGAGCAGUAUAUACCUGCCCGCACAUGUAAAUCUGGACACACAAGGACCCACACACAAACAUAUACAGACUCCCCUCCCACUCACCUUGAGUGAUCCUACCUAGAAAUGAAAGCUUAAGGUGACUCCUCAGUCCAACCAGAGCACAUGGGGAGGGUGGGGAGACCCAGGAAGAAAAGACACUGGAUAAGGAGAGGCUAUGUGGGGUUCCAGGUCUGGGCUUUAAACAACUCCAGGCUGAGAAUCUAAGACUGCCUCUGUUGAUAAUGAUUCUGGAAUUCUGGGGCUCGAAGGGCACAGAGGAGUCAUUUUAUCUGCCCUACUGGCUCUAGAGUCUAGAGCUGUGGUGCUAUCCAAUACAGUAGACACUAGCCAUGUGUGGCUAUUUAAAACGUAAAUAAAACAAAAUUUCCUUCCUCAGCUGCAUCAACCACAUGAGGCUGGUGACUGCCAUACGGACGAUGCAGAUCAUAGAACGUUUCUCAUUACUGCAGAAAACUCUACUGGAUGGUACUGUUCUAGAGCCUUCCUCAACAAAAAUAUCUCAUCCAAGUCAUAGUACAGAAAAAACGACUUGAGAGUAUUUUCUCAUUCUCCAAAGAUGAUACAUACAGAACCAACCCCACUCUGGAAGCAAAGGAGAGAUGUCAUUUAUUACCAAAGGUGGCUACCUUGGGCAUUAGGGCUUAAUUCUCUCAUGGGACUUGCUAUACCAAGUCCAUCUAGACAGUCCCAACAUUUUCCUCUGCUCAAAAACCACAGCUCCCAAGAAACCUCUCUCUGCUUCCCCGAGUUGGAGUCGUACAGUCUUUACGUUAACCUAAUCCUACAGCCACCCUCUUCUUCAGAGCCCUUGGAGCAACAGCCUCUCCAAGGAGCACUGCUGAGCUAUGUGUGUGUGCCCUGAGCUCUUGCUGUCUUUUGCUCUAGGCCACCACCAGCUGAGGAUCUGGUCUUUCCACACGUGGGCCAACAUAUACCACUUUCCAACACCAACCCUCUAUCAUCUGUGCUGGUGGAACAAUGCCUGGGUAAGCUGGACAUGGUCUGUAGUACAACUGCAGCCCUCUGGCCCCCCACCCAAUUUAUCAGCUCACACUGCUGGCAGAGUAGCUAGCUGUCCCUUUCCUGAGUAGUCAUAGGAAUCGGGGCUUCUGUUCUCCCUGGGGAAGAACAUGGAAAUAAAAUGGAAAUAAGCUUUAACAUAAAA